CCCAAGAGAGAGCAUUAUCGUGGACGCCGGUGAGCAUCCUUCCUCCUUUUGAAUUGUAUGAUUGUAUCGAAUUGCCUCUGGUCAUAAACAGCAAGACACUGAUGGAGGAGCCGUCCAGCUCAUGCUGUGAUUGUUCCAGCUUUCUGUACUAAGAAAUCACUGACUGCCAGGAAAGGGAAGUGGACUGUGCCACAGGUAUGAUCUAGCAAUUUGUCAUGUGGUUCCCUCUUUGCAGUGUGUUGCUUCUUGUUUUUUAUGGUGUUCUGAAUGCAGCUUUGCUUUGCUUUGCACCCGAUCUCUUAUUUUGGAAUGACCAGUUAACUAUUAGGAUGAUGUCAUGAUGAGACCUACCCUGCAUCCAUGCAUCGGGCCUUCUGCUCCAUGGAUCGGAAGUAAGAUCCUUCCUGUCGUAAUAUAUGCCCAAGGACACCAACCCCUUUGAUGUUUCUAGAGAAUCUGAAACUUCCUGUGUUACGUUUCCUAAGAUUAUUUGCUACUUUAUACUGUCUUUCCGUUGUGGCUGGAUCAGGCACUAUCUGAUGCCAUGUAAUACAUGCCUCUAAGGAGGUGUUUGGUUCAACGUUUCUUGCCCGUGAUCUAAUUACACUGGUAUCUGAUAACGUUAACUGUGUUUGGAAAGGACAGCACGUAAUCAAAUCCCGUGUAAACAGAUCCCGUCGCUGUCUAAGGUCGAUUCCGCCCACCCCCCAGCGUAAACGCGUUACUUUACCCUUUGCCCCCUGAGCACUUUGUUCCUAGUCCCUGAUCCCCUCUGUCUCCGCCUCCUCGCAUCCCCUUCCGCCGCCACAAGCUUAUCAGCCUGGACAGAUCAAGUCGCCGUCAACGGCGACGGCGCCAGCGCCGACGGCUGGCAGUGUGAGAAGGCCGGCUGGAAGCUGGUGGUGGACUGUGCCGGACAGGGCAUGUCGUUCGUGGAAGCUGAGCGGCAUCGCCAUCGACAAACUUGACGAUGGGAGGUGUUUCUUGCUCAUGUACGACGACCACAUCUACAAGGCCUCGCCGUCGGGCGUGCUGCUACCCGCCAUCAUCGACGCGCCCCUCGUGCAUGAAUAGCUGACGCGACUCGAGUCCGGAGGCUUCACGCUCGGCCAUCAGAAUUUCUACGGCGUCAGCAAUGUCCGCCGGCGUGGCGUAGUACGGCUGGGAGAUCACUUCUGGUGCCCGUGUCAUAGGUGCAUCCCGUCUCGGCCAAGGAGAUACAUUUUCUAGGAAGGAAUCGAUUGACGUUACAGGCUGCAACCAAACAAGUUUGUGUUUUCUUCGAUUACGUUAACAGUAACAGCGUCAUUUCAUUACGUUUACAUUUACGUUAACUCUAACAAACCAAACACCUCCUAAGCAUCAACCUUUAUGCCGUAUCGAGAAUGGCAGAAACUCCCUUGUUAGAUUUGCUAGGAAAGUAUGCUACUCCCUCCGAUCCAAAAUAAGUGUCGCAGUUUUGAACCGACCCCAGUUAAAAACUGCGACACUUAUUUUGGAUCGGAGGUAGUACCAUGUAAUAUAUUAUUUGCAGUUACUAUGUGCGCCGUCUAGGAUUGUGUGCUACUUACCCCCAUUGUUUGUGUGAAUAGCUUGUUUUUGUAUACAUGCGUUGCAGGACAUAGGUCCGCUUUUCAUGCAAAAGGGCACACCUGACAACCCAAGAGGCGCACAAAGGCGCGCUGAAGCAAAAUCAUUCUCUUGCAGGCCCUGUAGCUUAGCAGAUGUGUGCAGGUUUGCCUGUAAUCUAUAUUUUGUAUUUCAUCUAGCUAAGUUCAGCAAACACUAGUUUGUUUUCUUACAUAACGACUGAAGCAAAAUUAUUCUCUUGCAGACUCUGUAGCCUACUGUUUAACUGCUAUUGUUGUUGGAACCAUUGGCUAUUUAUGCAUAAGAUGGAAGGUGAACUCGGAUUUUUGCAAGGGAAAUUGGAUUUUUUCUAGACGGCUUGCUCUUCGUGAUUAGGAUGGUACUAAUGAACUGAUGGCAGGCAUCAAG
rnacentral:lncRNA from 1 species